GGAGCCUACCUCGGAGGGCAGGGGAUGUUAUGUGUUAUGGAGAACAGUGCUGCAGGCGUGGUUGAAAGUCUCCAGAGCAGAAAGAGGAAGGCACUUGAUGUUCUGAUCGCUUCGAACUGCUAAUUAGGCUCAUGCAUGCUACAAACGCUGGCAGCUCUUGUGUCCUGGGGUAACAGGGACAAGCCUGGCAAAGAGGCUCAGAAACACGGCCAACCCAUCCAUAAGCCCACGUGCUGUGCCUAUAAAGAGAUGCUUCAACGGAGUACACUGGCGAACCAGCUACCAAGCACGUUUGAAUGCUCUGAGAUUCCGAGUAGAAAUAUAAUGUCCAGGUGGGCAUCAAAGUCUCCUUGAAACAGCUCGGGAAAUUCUACAUUUACCGCCGGCAGUCAGUGGGGCGGGAAAUCGUGCACUCGGGAAUGGAAUACACUAUGCUUCUGGUUCGUGAAUGUGCCCACUGAGAGCUGCAGCAGCGAGUCAGCUGACAUUUCAGAGCUUCUAUGUCUUCCUUUGCAAAGUGGAAACUACCCAGUUGGCACAGUCAAGUACUCUGGCUCAGCAGAAGACUGACAAAAAAGUGGCCCUCACUCUGUGACAAUGUGUUUUAGAAAGGAAUGAAGACACUGUUUGGAAUGGAGACGCCAUUUGAAGCAGCCCUGUCCCCGAGAGGUCUACAACACCUUGCUCUUAGGAAUCCAAGUGGAAACAGGACCGUGUCCAAAUUUCUUCUUACAAUAUUGAUUUUUUUUUAAAGAACCUUAUCUCUCAAAGUCAUAUGUUUUGAAACAGUAUAGCUCUGCUGGCUUUGAACUCACUAUGUAGCUAAGGGAGGCUGAGGAUCCUGGUCCUCCAAGUGCUGGGAUUGUAGGAAUGAGCCAUCAUGCCGAGCAACACAUUUGCCCUGAGGCUUUCUGGAGACCUACCUCCUCCCUAGUUCUAAUAAAGGCAAGCGUCUUAUAGGUGGACUUAUGUUUGC